rnacentral:misc_RNA from 1 species
ACAGAGACAGACAAAGUAUGGAGUAG